GUUAGUUUGGGAAACAAAAACCCCAAACCCAUCUCUAUUUCUCUCACCCCAACUCCUUUCCUUCCCCGUGAAAACCCAAACCCGAGCCCUCUCUCUCUUUCUUUGAUCCCUUGCGCUGCUGCCCCGUCAGCCACCCCUUGCGGGUUCCCGUUUUCCCUGGUGCUUGUCGUGUUGUCGUUUUCCCCCUCGCGCGGUGUUUCUGACGUGCUUCUGUCCCCUGCUCGCGUCUUCUCUCUCCUCAUCGUGGUGGUGUUGUUGUGUGUGGUUAUUGCUCGAGGUCGCUGCUAGGGUUGUCGCGUUGGUGCCGCUCGCUCCUUAAUUUGUCCAUUCCCCUCGGUGUUCAAUCCUCAUCGUUCUUCCAGUUCCAAAGAAUCGUUCAUGUUCAACCUCCCAUCAGUUUCAACGCAAUUGGGAAGCUGCGAAUUUAGACAAUUUGACAACGAAAAUUGAAAAUUUUCAUUACAAGUCUUAUGAUCAGCAGACAGAUUCUAGUGUACAUGAUACGCUGAUCGCAUCAAAAUGUUUGUAACUAAUCGUAUUGUUCGUCGGCCGCCGCAAGCUAGCGGCCCUGCCCUAUGCUUUAUUCCUCUCUCUUAUGUUGCUGUCCCUAUUGGUACUACCCUUUCUGAUCUCUCUUUUAAUUGCACUUAUUUUCAUCUUCAGUACAGGAUAUUAUCAUCAACUUCAUUGCAAAUUAUAGGUAUAAUUGCAAGUAUUUCGAUUGAUUUAUUACAUGGAUGUUGAGAAAUGAGUUCUGAAAAUAUGAUUGAAACAUAAAAAUGAUGGGGUUGCUAAUGUUCAUGGUUGAUUUAUUAUUGGUGCUACUCGAUUGAAAUAAUCCUGAUUCUAGCUACUUUCUUCUGUGCAUCUUCAAGUUUUGGAAAUAUAAGCCCGUUCAAUCAUGCAACCAGGAAUUUGAUUCAGCUAUAUCAUAACGUUGUUGAUUGAGCUAUAUCAACUCCAGAUUAUGUUGAAAUACUUGAAAGGUGUAAGUUCUUGGUGCAAUCAAAUCUCAUUGAUGUUUAGAAAAGACUCAAGUAUAAACUUAAGUAAGAAAUUGAGUUUUCGAAUCUGAUAACCAAAUUUAAGUUAUAUGUGUUUUGGACAUGAGUUAUGAGUUCCGACAAUUGGCAGUUUUAUGAUGAUAAUACUUUCUUAAGUGCUUUUAAACUAAAUUGAAUGAACUCAAUGAGGUUGCUGUUAAAUUUAUAUCAUGUGAUGCCUUCAUAGCUCAGGUACGAGAGAUAGAAGAGAAAGGGAGACAUGUUUAAUGUGAGAAGCACUUGGGCCUGCUUUUCAAAAUGUUUAUCGAAUCUCCAGCGUAGAAGAUUUUGCAAUUUCACCACGCAAAAGAACAAGCAGCAAUGCUCCCAAAGUUACUUAUUACUAUUGUUAUAUCUUAUACUUUUAGGCUGAUUGAAUUUUACGAUAGAAAGAGAACUUGAGAUUGGAGCGUUUAAGAAUUGACAGUAAGGUUUCCCUAGAUCCUUGUAUUUGGUUGUCUGAUUACUUUUUCACUUUUUGAGCUAUGUUAUGAAACUGUUUGCUCUUCCUUUUUUUUUUUCCUAAUUGUUGUUAAUGUUAACCUUUUCUUCAUAGUUAAACUAAACUAGCUAUGUUCUUUUCUUUCGCUAAGUUUUAGAUUUUGUGCGUUAUGCUUUGUUAAAAUGUGACAUGUAUUACUGAAUAAUGAAUAUAGACCACUUGCAUAGUUGCAUUUUAUAAGCUUCCAUAUACUUUUGCUAAGCCAUUGUGUAGGGGGGCUGUGUAGGGUGGGUUGUGUAGGGGGUUGUUGUGCAUCCUAUAUAUAUAUGAUCAGGAAAAUUACAUUUUUUAUAACUUCCAUAUUUUAGAGAUUUAAUGGUGGAUAGAAGUUCUUAUGAGCAGAAAGCAUUCAAAAGAAAACUUGUUCUUACAUUAACCGUGUUUAAGAAUAUAUUUCUCGAACUAUAGGUUGGAUGUAAACCAAUGUAAACCUCUUGAUGCAUAAAAAGAAAAAGGAGACCUGCAUGAAUAAUUACAUAUAUGACAUAAUGUGAAACACUUGUGCAUAAAAAGAAAAAGGAGACCUGCUGAUUGUUACAUCGAACAACUUUUAUUUUUGGAGGAAAUGAUUACUACAAUUAUUUUUCGUUUUCUAUUUCUUUUCGAUUUAUGCAGAGGGUUGUUGUGCAAGAGGGUGUGCACGGUGUUGUUUUGCAAGGUGGGUGUGCAGGAGGGUCUUUCCUUGUAUCACAUUUUACAAAAAAAGAGGAGUUUUGUUAUGCCUCAUAUAUUUAAUAUACUUGUUUUAUUUUUUACUAGUAUAUAAUUAGUCGUGUUAUCAUAAAGACUUUGAACAUUCUUUUUCAUUUGUUCUCAUUACUGCAGGAUGAUGAUGGAGAUAAUGAAUUAGAGUAGCAGGUAGGCAUGAUGCUUCUGGAAACAUGCAUGCAUGAAUAGGGCGACACAUGGAAUUGAAGAUGAAGAAAGACACGAUCUGAAGAUUAAUUUAGGGUUGGGGAGAGUUAUAUGUAUUAUGACUGGGUUCUUAGAUCAACUAUUUAUAUGUUGAAAGCAAUGGUAUGUUUUUAAUUGAUGAAUACUACUCAUUGGCUCUUUUUUUACAAUGACCGUUGAGUGAACUCAAUAUCUAUAAUAUCAUUUUAAUUCCUCUUCGUUUA